ensembl:lncRNA
AAUCCUGCAGCCGAUCAGCUCUCUCCUUAGCAGUAGGUGUCAGUAUGGUGAGUGGUAAUUACAACAGAGAGUUUUGGAGGACACACGAUAAUUAGGACAGCUAACAAAAACAUAAACACUGACAUUUACCAUACUUAAAGCCAGAAAUGUUGUCUGCUGUGUCUGUACAUUGUUUCAGACCAUGACAAUAGAGCCAUAAUUAGUUCAAUCAUGCUUCUAAGGAACAAAGACUUUCAGAUUUUGGAUAUGCAGCGCAGUGUUUGAGCAGGGGGAAAGGCAGAAAGGGGGGAGUGAUCUGUGGUGAGCUGGGAGAGCUGGGUUCCCUUCCAAGGCUGCUGCAGGGAUGGUGCUGAGUGAGUGCCAGGGAAUCGCUGUGUCUGUCAGCACAGCUCCCCAGCCACAGGGACAGCAGCGCUCACCCUGCUAAGGUGCUGCCCGUAUUAACGCGUUUUUAAGGUCUUUUUAAGCGCUUGGAGAUUGUCUGUAAGGAAGGGUGAUGGAAAUUCAGUACUAUUGAGGGAAGAGACCAUCUGUUUCACAUCUCAUUAAGAACUAUAUCCUGUUUCUGCUCUGUGGCCCAGCAAGGCCUGAAAACAAGGAGCUGUGUUUAAACAAUACUUCCUCAGUUAAACUACAGCAUAUAUAAAUUGAAUUCAGUUUUGCUCCCAAUGACCCACUUUCUCUGCUCACAGAAGUUCUUCAAAAGGGUUCUCACCAUGCAGGGUGCUUGCAUUGUAACCCUCUGGGGAGCUGUGCAUCAGUGUGCAAGGACAACGUGGGGGAAGAGGCAUGCAGGAAAGGAACCUUUAAAAGUUCUGUUUGCAGUGUUACUUUCUGAAUACUGAGCCGACGACCAAUGCUCCAAGCACUCAGUCUCCCUGGUCCUAGAGUGGAAGGCAUUCUGUGGACUGACUGCACAGCCAUUGAGCUAAAGGGGAGACAGGAACAAAUCCAAGGUGAGUCAGUUUGCCAUGGCUGCAAUGGGUCUGCAACAAAUAGGGUUUCGUGACUGG